GACGAACGCUGGCGGCGUGCUUAACACAUGCAAGUCGAACGGAAAGGCCCUGCUUUUGUGGGGUGCUCGAGUGGCGAACGGGUGAGUAACACGUGAGUAACCUGCCCUUGACUGUGGGAUAACUUCACGAAACUGGGGCUAAUACCGGAUAGGAGCUCCUGCUGCAUGGGGGGGGUUGGAAAGUUUCGGCGGUUGUGGAUGGACUCGCGGCUUAUCAGCUUGUUGGUGGGGUAGUGGCUUACCAAGGCUUUGACGGGUAGCCGGCCUGAGAGGGUGACCGGCCACAUUGGGACUGAGAUACGGACCAGACUCCUACGGGAGGCAGCAGUGGGGAAUAUUGCACAAUGGGCGGAAGCCUGAUGCAGCAACGCCGCGUGCGGGAUGACGGCCUUCGGGGUGUAAACCGCUUUCGCCUGUGACGAAGCGUGAGUGACGGUAAUGGGUAAAGAAGCACCGGCUAACUACGUG
rnacentral:rRNA from 1 species